GUGCUUGCUUCUGCAGCACAUACACUAAACUUGGAUGAUUCAGAGAUUAGCGUGGCCCAUGUCAAGGAUGAUAAGCAAAUUCAUGAAGUGUUCCAUAUUUUC